rnacentral:snRNA from 1 species
GGAUGUGAGGGCUAUCUACCUGUGACAUCUGUCACCCCAUUGAUCACCAGGGUUGAUUUGGCUGAUCUGGCUGGCUAGGCAAGUGUCUCCUUCCUCCCUCACCACUCCACGUGUGUCCCUCCCAAAGCUGUGCGCUCAGUUGAAGAGGAUGACCUUCCCCGAAUAGAGGACCACUGGUCUUUGGUCAAGGGUAUACAGGUAGCUGCACUCCCCUGCUAGAACCUCCAAACAAGCUCUCAAAUUGCCGGAGUAAAAAACAAACAAAAAAAAAAAAAUGAACUAGGGCUGGCAUACCU